UACAGAGGGUGCGAGCGUUAAUCGGAUUUACUGGGCGUAAAGCGCGCGUAGGUGGUUAAUUAAGUCAAAUGUGAAAUCCCCGAGCUUAACUUGGGAAUUGCAUUCGAUACUGGUUAGCUAGAGUAUGGGAGAGGAUGGUAGAAUUCCAGGUGUAGCGGUGAAAUGCGUAGAGAUCUGGAGGAAUACCGAUGGCGAAGGCAGCCAUCUGGCCUAAUACUGACACUGAGGUGCGAAAGCAUGGGGAGCAAACAGGAUUAGAUACC
rnacentral:rRNA from 1 species